rnacentral:rRNA from 1 species
GAUGAACGCUGGCGGCGUGCCUAAUACAUGCAAGUCGAGCGAACAGACGAGGAGCUUGCUCCUCUGACGUUAGCGGCGGACGGGUGAGUAACACGUGGAUAACCUACCUAUAAGACUGGGAUAACUUCGGGAAACCGGAGCUAAUACCGGAUAAUAUAUUGAACCGCAUGGUUCAAUAGUGAAAGACGGUUUUGCUGUCACUUAUAGAUGGAUCCGCGCCGCAUUAGCUAGUUGGUAAGGUAACGGCUUACCAAGGCAACGAUGCGUAGCCGACCUGAGAGGGUGAUCGGCCACACUGGAACUGAGACACGGUCCAGACUCCUACGGGAGGCAGCAGUAGGGAAUUUUCCGCCAUGGGCGAAAGCCUGACGGAGCAACGCCGCGUGAGUGAUGAAGGUCUUCGGAUCGGAAAACUCUGUUAUUAGGGAAGAACAAAUGUGUAAGUAACUAUGCACGUCUUGACGGUACCUAAUCAGAAAGCCACGGCUAACUACGUG